AAUGAAUUAAGAGGCAACUCUUAACUGGCCAGUUAAGGAAAGACCGAGAGGUUCAAGCUUGGCGGGCAGAAAAUGGGGUGAAGUAGUGCUAAACACACUCUGUGAAUGAGACGAAGGUAGCACUUCAACAGCGUCUCA
rnacentral:sRNA from 1 species